CAUGGCGGAUGCCUUGGCGAUUACAGGCGAUGAAGGACGUAGAAGUCUGCGAUAAGCUUCGGGGAGCUGACAAACAAGCUUUGAUCCGAAGAUUUCCGAAUGGGGAAACCCGGCCUUUUAGGUCAUCGUUAGCUGAAUACAUAGGCUAACGAAGCGAACGCGGCGAACUGAAACAUCUAAGUAGCUGCAGGAAAAGAAAUCAACCGAGAUUCCCAAAGUAGUGGCGAGCGAAAUGGGAAGAGCCU
rnacentral:rRNA from 1 species